CCUACGGGAGGCAGCAGUGAGGAAUAUUGGUCAAUUGGCGGAAGCCUGAACCAGCCAAGUAGCGUGCAGGAUGACGGCCCUACGGGUUGUAAACUGCUUUUAUACGGGAAUAACGCGCCUUACGUGUAGGGCUUUGCAUGUACCGUAUGAAUAAGGACCGGCUAAUUCCGUGCCAGCAGCCGCGGUCCUACGGAAGGUCCGGGCGUUAUCCGGAUUUAUUGGGUUUCAAGGGAGCGUAGGGCGAGUGUCACGCGUGCUGGGAAAUGUCUGGGCUCAACCCUGGCCUUGCAGCGGGAAAUGGCGGGCUUGAGUACGCGGGAAGCAGGCGGAAUGCGUCGUGUAGCGGUGAAAUGCUUAGAUAUGACGAAGAACCCCGAUUGCGAAGGCAGCUUGCUGCAGCGGAACUGACGCUGAGGCUCGAAAGCGCGGGUAUCGAACAGGAUUAGAUACCCUUGUAGUC
rnacentral:rRNA from 1 species